AAUAAAUAAAUAAAUAAGAAAGAUGAGUCUUAAAUUAUAUGGAGGCUCUAGAUGGAAAUGUCUUUUAGACAAUUUAUUUGUGUAUAAUUUUUAUGGCAAUUCUUGUUUUGAGCAGUGGGUACAAUUUACUUAUUUUAGACAAUUUACUUGUGUAGAAAUACCUAACCUUUUAUGAAUUUUAUGACACAUGUUCUCUGUUUUUAAUCCAUUAGUUAUAGUUAGCUUGCUUUCUUUCUUUAACCAAAAUCAUAGUUCAAAGCAUGUUUUUAAACAA
rnacentral:misc_RNA from 1 species